GUUAACGGAGACAUCCCAAAGGUCCUGGCAGCACUCGAGGACAAUACUGUGCUCCCCCCGGAGGAGUGGGGAAGCCUGGAGGACCGGCAGAAGGAGUGGUGCAGGAACGUGCUGAGGGGCAGCUGCGAGUCCCUGAUCUCGCUAGACUAUGCCAUUUCCAAGCCUGAUGUUCUGUCUCGGCUCGAGCGAGAAGAGCCAUGUCCAAGGGAGCGACCGGGCCAGGAGGGGAGCGAGAGCUCUGCGGACCCCAGCGCAGAGCCUCUGAGCUGCAGCCUGGAAGUCUCUCUGCAGAUCAAACAGGAGGAAGAGCAGGUCAAGGAGGACCAGCAGGAUGUGGAAGAAAAAGGAGACGCUCAGGAGACGCCAGCAGGUGGGUGAUGAGCCCAGGUGGCCCUGAACACCGCAGAGGAGCUCGAAAGCAGGAGGGCAAGGAAGGCUCUGUAUUGCUACCGCACCGUCAGCUCUGGCGAGCGAGAUCCCACAGCCUCCAUCGCUGUUCCCUGUCGGACCGGGGCCGUGACCGGCGGCUCUGCGUUCCCGCAGGGCAGCUCCUCGCUGGGGCAGGGCUCUCGGACCGGCUGCAGCGCUGGCUGGAGGGGACGGACAGGAACCAGGUCACCUCUUAGCAGUCAGGGCCAGCUGUGAACAGAGCUAAGCUGAGCGGGGUCUCCCAGUGCUGCCCAGAAGAGAGGGGCGCGCAACCCUGCACAGCUGCUCUUCUCCCCCACUCUCCCACGCUCGCGGCUGUGCCGUCGCCGCUCCCGCCGCCCCU
rnacentral:lncRNA from 1 species